AAAAACCACCGUUGUUAUUCAACUACAAGAACCCUA
rnacentral:tRNA from 7 species